AAAGAGACUGCCACUUAUCAAGUUGCCUCAAUAGCAGUCACAGCAGAGGAAGAAGCUAUGCUAGAGGCCUACUUUGAACACGUGCGCCCGCAUUUUGUUAAACAAGACGUAGACGACAAGGGGAGGUUCUUUUUAAGCAAAACUGGAAAAACCCUUUGCAGUGCCACAAAUGAUAUGGCCCGUUUUUACGAACACUUCAAGCUCCCAAACAUAACAAGUCAGGAGCUCAGGAGGGUCAUAGUAACAACGGUUUCCUCAAUGUUCUCAGAAGAACAAAAGGACAAGUUUGCUCAUUAUAUGGCCCACACCACCGCUGUUGCCAAGGCCCAUUAUAGGAUGAAAACAGCUGAAGAAACUGUAGCCACUGCUAACGUUCUGGCCAGUUUAACAGCUUACAGGUCAGUGACUGGUCAGAUAGCA
rnacentral:lncRNA from 1 species